rnacentral:lncRNA from 1 species
AGUUUUAUUGCCCCUCCUCCCCUUAUUUCGCCUUAUCCUUUUUUCUUCUGGGUUAGUGAAUAAGUUUAUUGGGCGUUUUGAGUAAGAAGCCCCUUGUGGUGAUUUCAUUUGAGCCAUGCUCAGAUUGAAGUUCUCUAUCAUCCAUUUUAGGCGUUUUUAAAAAAGAAAAAAAAAAUUCUCCCAAAACCCACUUUCUAACACUGCUAAAGUUCUCUAAAUUCGGGGCUACAUUGUCUUUGACGAAAGUUGCUGCAAUCACCUAAUUGUUCUUUGUCAAGGUAGUAUGUUUUCGUUUAUUUGUUCGCUCUUAUACACAAGUAGAUUGCUAGAAACCGUGUUUCCCCAAAUCUAUUACGGAUGCAGUGGUGGGUGUGGCCGCAAAGGCGAUGGUGGUAGUAGAGUUUGUUUAGACUCAUGGGUUUCUUUAGGGUUUUGGUUAUGUUGGGUAUGUGGUCUUUGUUUAGACUUAUAUAUGGUUAAUUAUGGUGAUAUGGGCUAAUAGCUUUAGUGUGGCUUUUGUCCACUUUAGUUUUAUUUUUAACAUGUUAGUUUGUUACCUUAUGGGGAUUCGUAGUUUCGAUGUCUUGUUGAUAUCUUUGAUUGUACUUUUAAAAUUUAUCUUUUAUUAAAAUAAAAAAAUAAAAAAUAAAAAAUAAAACUGGAGGGUAGAAUAAGCACACACAAAAAUUGACUAAUCAAAGUAGUAAAUGUUAGCUGACUCAUCGACCCAAAACUCACAUCAGUCCCUUCACCACGUUCUCUCCCUUCUACCUUGUUU